AUGAAGUUUAAGAGUAUAUUUUUCAAGAUCAUACUCUACGAGCUCGCAUUAUAAGCCAGAAGUCCAGGAAAGAAAGCAGAGACAAGAGGAAUGAGACAAUGUGCAAUAGAAAUGCCAUGCGGAAAGCCAACGCAAAAAAAAAUAUAAAAAGCAGAAACGUCACCUGUGUUUUCACUGGGAAGCACUACUGUUGUUUUCUUCAAUGCUGCAGUAAACUUGGAUGUAUUUCAUCAUUCUGUGUUAUUCCGCAUUGCUUGUUAUACAGUAAAUACACCUGGUGUUGUUUGAUCCUAUCAGUGCACCGCGAGCAAAAUAUCUAUAUACGUAUUUUUAAAGCUAAGUAAAUGGCGUUGGAGUUUGCUUGUCUGAGCUGUCGGUAUAAUAAGACAUACAGAACCGACACAUAUACAAACAUGCAAUUGUUGGAAACCGGAAGAGGAACCCACAUGCUCUUGACAUGACAUUUACCUGACGUACGACGUCUGAGUCACAGUUACUUGAACUAAAUCUUGUGUCAAACCCUGAAUGAAAGAAAAUAAAUGAACUGUGCCACCA